AUACGUAGGUGGCAAGCGUUGUCCGGAAUUAUUGGGCGUAAAGCGCGCGCAGGUGGUUCCUUAAGUCUGAUGUGAAAGCCCCCGGCUCAACCGGGGAGGGUCAUUGGAAACUGGGGAACUUGAGUGCAGAAGAGGAUAGUGGAAUUCCAAGUGUAGCGGUGAAAUGCGUAGAGAUUUGGAGGAACACCAGUGGCGAAGGCGACUGUCUGGUCUGUAACGGACACUGAGGCGCGAAAGCGUGGGGAGAAAAGAGGAUUAGAUACCCUGUUAGCCCACGCCGUAAACGAUGAGUGCUAAGUGUUGGGGGGUUUCCGCCCCUCAGUGCUGCAGCUAACGCAUUAAGCACUCCGCCUGGGGAGUACGGUCGCAAGACUGAAACUCAAAGGAAUUGACGGGG
rnacentral:rRNA from 1 species